CAGGGCCCCUCGGGGGUCGCGUCACUGAGGCGGCGAAGCCGGGAACUGGAUCAUAGCUGCCUCCCGCUCUAGGGGUGUUAAUACAGAUUUUACAGAUGAGGAAACUGAGACCCAGAGAACUGAUGACAGUGAGCAGCUGAGCUGGGAAAACCCCAGGUCCGGUUGACUGUGAAGCCCCUGCGCCUGGAAUAGGAAGUCUCUGACCCAUUUCUACUGCAGUGUCCCCUCAUCUUUGGGUCACCCGGGGGCAGAUAUGACCAGCUGUCUGUGGAGGGAAAAGGGAGGGCUGUGAAAUGAAAUGGGAGUGUGUGCACGGCGCCCCCUGGUGGCCUAUUUGGGGCCAUCGCUCUAAUGCUGGAGGGAUUUCCAGGACCCUUAUGGUGACACUGGGCCCACCAUCUGGAUAAUCCAGGACAGGCUCCCUCAAGAUCCUUCAUCACAUCCGCAAGUCCCUUUCGCCAUGUGCAGUCAUGUAUCUGUCGGUUGUGGGGAUCAGGAUGUGGACACCUUUGGGAGGAUGUUAUUCAGCCUAUCACGGCUACACAGCUGAGGAGUGGUGGAGACCUUCUGAGCCCUUCUCUUCAGCAGUUCCACUGUGGCUGCAGCCACCAACAGAUCCUGUGUGCCUUGCACACCUCAGUGACAGUAUUUCAGUGGAUCUUGCAUUUGCCAUUUUUAAGUCAGGAAUGAACACGUGGGGCUUGGAGUCUGGCUAUCUGACUUGAAAUCCUGGCUUUAAGCCCUUCCUAACUGGUGAGGUUGAGCAAGUUACCUUACUUUUCUGGGCCUCUGUCUUCUCAUCUGUCAAAUGGGAACGAUGAUAAUAGACACCUGUUGUAGGGGGGAUGGGGGAUGAGGAUGGAAUGAUUUCAUGAAUGUCGAGUUCUCAGAACAAUGUCUGGUUCUUAAUAACUUCAGUACACUGGGCCUCAGUUUCCUUAUCUGUAAAGUGGGGAUAAUGGUAUUCAACCCAGAGGGCAGUUUUGAGGAUUUAAGGCCACAAGGCACCAACCUCACUUAUUGGCCGGAGGGAAGUGAGUGCUGAGUGGGUGAGUGGCCGCUCUCAUCCCAGCCUUUCACCUGGGCCAGCAGGUCCUUCCCUCCCCUCCCUCUUCCCUGGGCCCUUACACUGCGGCAGACACUGCUGGGUUCUGUUCCUCCAGCCGCCCAGCCUCCUAAAUCAAGCCAAGCGUUGAGGCAUGCACUGCCCAUUAAUGGGGACAUUUUGACUCAGCGCCGUUUUGAAAUAGCAGGGUUGGGCAGUGCCCCGAGAAUAAGCUUUGCUAAUGGAGUUUCUGUCUUGGCAUUGGGCCUGUCUGGGCUGUUUACUGCAGGAGACUUGGAGGAUGUAGGGCCGGAGGGGGAAGAAGGACUUGGAGCCUUAUUUGCUUGCAGGAGCCCUGCAAAGGCAGGCAGAAGGUAGUAAGGCUCCCUGGCCUCCAGCUGAGCGUGAGUGUAGUCCUGCUGGGGUGGGGAGGGUCCCGGGGUGUGAACCUGGCCAGUGACCUCACGCGAGAGAGCAGCUUGGGAACCUCAGUUUUCCCCUUUGCCAGAUAUUGAUGGAAGUCUCCACCCGGUGAGCAAAAUCAUUCCCCGAUGACCUGACCAUUAUGAAAUUAGACUGUAUUCAAAUAUUUCCAAAUACUUAGGUGUAUAAGCACCUUGUGUGUUUCUAAAUGAAGGAUACAAUUUUAUUGGGGGGAAAAAAACCUGAUUUUGUCUUCUUUUUGAGUGUAAUUCAUUAGAACAAUGUCAGACAUGUUAAAUGUCACAGAAAAUAAGCUUAUUUUCAUAAUUCUUAUUAUUUUUCAAGAUAGUUCCACCAUCAAGCCUGUCUGCGCCCUCUCAUUUAUUGUGACAUUUUUGGUUCUCAGUAUAAGUGGAUUCGUUUAUGUGAUCUGUUGCCAGUUCCAUCUGUUUUUAAAUUUUUUAAAAGUUGUGUUAAGAUAUAUAUAAGCUUUGCCAUUUUAACCAUUUUUAAGUAUGCACUUACAUUCACUACGCCGUGUUAACCACCACUUCAAUCUAUUUCCACAACUUUUUCAUCAUCCCAGACAUAAACUCUGUAUCCAUUAAGCAAUAACUCUCCAUUAUUUCUCCCCUUCAGCCCUGGUAACCUCUAAUCUACUUUCUAACUCCUGAAUUUGCCUAUUCUAGAUAGUUCACAAAAGUGAAAUCAUACCGUAUUUGUCCUUUUGUGUUUGGCUUCGUUCACUUGGCGUCGUGUUUUCAAGGUCCGCCCACGAGGUUGAUGUCUCAGUAUAUUCCUUUUAUGGCUGAAUUAUAUUCCACCGAAUGGAGGGACCACUUUUUGUUUUAUUGGUUCAUCUGUUAGUGAACACUUGGGUUGCUUGUUACGAAUAUUCCUGUGCAAGCAUCUUGUUUCGAGUGCCUGUUUUCAAUGCUUUGGGUAUAUACCUAGGAGUGGAAUUGCUGGGUUAUAUGGAAAUCCUGUGUCUAACUUUUGGAGGAACUGCCAAACUACUUUGACAGCAGCUACAUCAUUCUGCGAUCCCAUCAGCAACGUACAGGAGUUCCAGUUCCUUCACAUCCUCUCCAACAACUGUUUCUCUUUUUUUUUCUUUUAAAAAUGAUAGACAUCCUAAUUGGUGUGGAGUGCUAUUUCAUCGUGGAUUUGAUUUACAUUUCUCUAAUGACUAAUGAUGUUGAGCAUCUUUAAAUGUACUUACUGGCCAUUCCUAUAUCUUCUUUGGAGAAAUGUGUAUGUCAAUGUCUUGUCAAUGUCAAGUCCUUUGCCCACCUUUUAAUUGGGUUUUUGUAUUUUUGUUGUUGACGUGUAGGAGUUCUUUAUAUAUUACGGAUUUUACAUCCUUAUUUAUUAGAUAUAUGACUUGCAAAUAUUUUCCUCCCAUUGUGUGGGUUGUCUUUUCACCCUCAUGAUAGUAAACUUUGAUGCCCAAAAGUUUUCAAUCUUAACGAAGCCUAAUUUAUCUUUUUCUUUUGUUGCUUGUGUUUCUAGCAGAAACCACUGCUAAAUCUAAGGUCAUGCAGAUUUUCCUCUAUGCUGUCUUGUUUUAUAGUUCUAGCUCUUAAAAUUUAGGUCUUUGAUCCAUUUUGAGUUGAUUUUUGUAUAUGACAUAAGGUGGGGGUCCAACUUCAUUCUUUCAUGUGGAUAUCUAGUUUUCUCAGCACCAUUUGUUGAAGAGAACUUUUUUUUCUUUCCUGCAUUGUAUGAUCUUGGCACCCUUGUUGAAACUCAAUUGACCAUAGAUGUGAGGGUUUAUUUCUGGGCUGUCAAUUCAAUUUCAACUGAAGUAUAGUGAGUUACAAUGUGUCAGUUUCUGGUGUACAGCAUCAUGGCCCAGUCAUGCAUAUACAUACACAUAUUCAUUUUCAUAUUCUUCGGCCAUGAUCUUGAGUGGAUCAGCUCCACACUUCAGUCUUGGGUUCCAUGACACACAUGCAGGGACAGGAAGUGGGAAUGUGAACCCUGUUGAUUGAGAUGUUGAAACACAGGGUUCAAUCAAAUAAAAGAGAUUCUUAAAGUCCAAAGUGCUACCAAUGACAGUAGGCAAGGAAAGCUUUACCACUGUCCCAUGGGAACGCACACAAGCUUCUCUCUGGGCAAAGCUCCAGCUGAGAAAAAUAUGGUAAGUAACUCUAGGAUGAAGGAGCCAAGUCCCACCCACCUGGGUCCCAGGAGAAGCAGGAGGUCUGAUGACACAGGUGGGAGUGAUGACUCUGCACCUCCCACACCACACUCAGAAUGACCCAUCACGAGACUCGCACUGUAGAAAUGGGCAGAAACCUGGAAUGCACUUUUUCCCCUAAUAAUCAUUUUUCUUUCUAACACCUCAGAGCCAAACGAUGCCUGUGCCUCUCAGUUAAAAGCCAAGUAUUAUGCUUUAAUAGUAAAAUCAUAAAUGUUAUGGCCUUAGUAUAUUGCGGUAAGAAAAGCUCA